GCAAUGGGCGAAAGCCUGACGGAGCAAUACCGCGUGAGGGAGGAAGGCUUUUGGGUUGUAAACCUCUUUUCUCAAGGAAGAAGAUAUGACGGUACUUGAGGAAUAAGCAUCGGCUAACUCCGUGCCAGCAGCCGCGGUAAUACGGAGGAUGCAAGCGUUAUCCGGAAUGAUUGGGCGUAAAGCGUCUGCAGGUGGCUAUGCAAGUCUGCUGUUAAAGAGUGGAGCUCAACUCCAUAAGGGCAGUGGAAACUGCGUGACUAGAGUACGUUCGGGGUAGAGGGAAUUCCUGGUGUAGCGGUGAAAUGCGUAGAUAUCAGGAAGAACACCGGUGGCGAAAGCGCUCUACUAGGCCGUAACUGACACUGAGAGACGAAAGCUAAGGGAGCGAAUGGGAUUAGAUACCCCAGUAGUCUUAGCCGUAAACGAUGGAUACUAGGCGUUGCUUGUAUCGACCCGAGCCGUGCCGAAGC
rnacentral:rRNA from 1 species